GCGGGAGUAGCUCAGCGGUAGAGCAUCAGCCUUCCAAGCUGAGGGUCGCGGGUUCGAAACCCGUCUCCCGCUCC
rnacentral:tRNA from 1 species